CUUCUUCCUUUUUUUUUCUUUUUCGUUACGUUUUCAUUUGAAUUUUGUGUGUGUGUGUGUGGGGGGAGGGGGGGGUUUCGCGAGCUCGUCUCUUAUCGCUUACUGACCAUCAGCUAAGGGCAGCGUGAUUGAUUCGAUCCAGACCGACCUUUAACCUUGGCAUUGUGCUUUGAGAGGGAAUUCUACAGCUCAAGAAAGAAAAUAAAAUUGAUUUUGGUCCCCCCCCCUCUCUCUUGGACCAGCCACUAUAUAGACAAUCAGCAAAAGUGCGGACCGUCUUCUCUUUCUUUCGCCUUGUUCCAAAAGACUCCCAAACUAUUAGAGCAAUCAAUAACACGCACUUCCCAAGGAGAAACAACAUGAAGUUUUAGGGUUCCCACAUCAGCAAGUAAUUCCACUUUCUUACCUGUCUGCGUGUUCAUAAGAGCUAACACGGGGAUGGAGUAGCUGCUAAUGGAGAGAGAGAGAGAGAGUGCUGAUCGACGCACUGUGAUUCGUCCUUUUUUUUGUUCCUCUACUUUGGUUAAUCAAGACGGUGGGCUGAUUUCCAGAGCGGCGGGGACGGUACAAACUUCAAAGUCUACGACGCUGUGGUCCGCAUCGACAUCAGUCACAGGAGCCUUUGAAAAGAAAGAGAGAGUCUUCCUUUCCAAUAUAUCUAUACAGUACCAUCUCUUUUCCAGAAAACAGUUUAAAACAAAAGAAAAAUAAUAAUAAAUGGUAAAAAGACACUGAAAACAAGAGGAAUAAAAUGCCAAACGGA